UUAUGAACUCCGCCUGUAGCCCUUCUGAGGGCUAGUGCCGGUUCCAAGCCCGGAUAAAGGAGGAGGGUUAG
rnacentral:ribozyme from 2 species